rnacentral:lncRNA from 1 species
GAAACAGAAGUCAGUAAGGAGUGUGCUGAGAAGUGAGGAGAAGAAUAAAACUGGAUAUGUUCAUGUGUGGAUAAUUCAGUUUUGUUUAGACCCCCACGAAUCACGCCGCCCGAGUUAACUUAGUUGUUUUUGGUGCUCAAUUAUUAUAGUGAUGACGCCCAAUGGAUACCUGCACUUGUGAAGUCCCUGUCUCAUCGAUCUAAGCGAAGCUAUAUGUGACUUGCUUUGGCCAGUGGCCAUUACCAGAUGAGAUGCCCGCGUACACAGGAAAAGCCCUUUUGAAUUGGGGCUUGGACAUUCUUGCUCUUGAUAACACUGCUGCCAUGUAGAAGCCUGGGUUAGCCCAUCUGAGGACACGACCAUGAAGAGCAGACAUGAGCCUUCCUAGCUGAGGCCACAAGCUGACACACCAGCUG